UACGUAGGGUGCAAGCGUUGUCCGGAAUUAUUGGGCGUAAAGAGCUUGUAGGCGGUUUGUCGCGUCUGCUGUGAAAUUUCGGGGCUCAACCCCGAACUUGCAGUGGGUACGGCAGACUAGAGUGUGGUAGGGGAGACUGGAAUUCCUGGUGUAGCGGUGAAAUGCGCAGAUAUCAGGAGGAACACCGAUGGCGAAGGCAGGUCUCUGGGCCGUAACUGACGCUGAGGAGCGAAAGCAUGGGGAGCGAACAGG
rnacentral:rRNA from 1 species